rnacentral:lncRNA from 1 species
GUUGCCAUUGGGCAGCUGUCAGUCGGAGCCGGCCUCCCAUUGGUUGGGCGCUGAGGGAGGGUUGUCGCUAUUGGGCGGGAGGGGAUGUAAACCCUGGCGGAGGUACGGGGGUGCUGAUUGGGCGCCGCGGGGAGCGGCGGGCGGGGAUUGGUUCGCGGAGAGAGCGCCUCGAGACGGAGGGGGGGUGGAGUGGGGGCGGGCGGGGAUUGGCUGGCGUAGGGAGCGCUGAGCUUCUAUUGGCAGAGGGCUGUGCUCCUGCCCUCCUCCUUUCCACCCCAUUGGCCCGUCCUACCUCCAUCUUUCCUCUGAUUGGUCAGCCUCAAACCCUUCCACCCAAUGACGAGAGCGGAGCAGCGCCAGGCCCGCGAUUCCCCCCCCCCCCCCCCCCCCCCCCUUCCCCCCCCCCCUCGGGCUGGGGGGGGGGGGCCCCCGUCCCCCUAGGGACCAAUCAGGCGCGGGCUUAAGGGGGGGGGGAAAGGGAGGGGACGGCUGAGAGCGGCGCUCCCAUUGGCUGCGCGCCGCGCGGGGCCCGGUUUGAAUCGGUGGCGCCGGCCGUGAGGAAUGGCCAAGUGCAGGCGUCGGCGGAAAGCCAGAGCCAGAGCGAAGCGGCGCCUGACAGGGAAAGGAGCUGCCGCCGGGCCCCGCGGCUCGGGCUGUGCUGCGCCGCUGUCAGCAGGUGACCUUCCGCCGGACCCACCCCCUGUCCCAAGCCACCCAUCCUCACGCUGGUCAUUAGCCUUGCCCAGUGUAAGAAGCGUGGUAAAGCCUCUCACAACAACGGUGUCGUUCUGGUAUUGCUGGUGCCAGAACACUGUUGCGCAGGUAAGUUUUCUGCUUUUCUGGGUUUUGACAAUGUGUGAGGUCAGCCUUAGAACUCAGAUGCAAGAUAUGUCAAAUAUGAAAAGUAAGCUGUAAACUUAAUUAUGUCUGUUGAAACAUCUAAAUAUAUAUUGUGUUUAUUGUUGAAGGAGUAACUAUGAGAAAAUGUCCAAGGUUGCUAUAAACAUUAAAAAUGUAUGUGAAAUUGGAGUUUGUAUAUGGCAGCAUCAGCAGGAU